rnacentral:rRNA from 1 species
CCUACGGGAGGCAGCAGUGGGGAAUAUUGCGCAAUGGGCGAAAGCCUGACGCAGCGACGCCGCGUGAGGGAUGAAGGUCUUCGGAUCGUAAACCUCUGUCAGCAGGGAAGAACGGUCCAUGUGCUAAUCAGCAGUGAAUUGACGGUACCUGAAAAGGAAGCACCGGCUAACUCCGUGCCAGCAGCCGCGGUAAUACGGAGGGUGCGAGCGUUAAUCGGAAUUACUGGGCGUAAAGCGCUCGUAGGCGGUAUGACAAGUCAAGGGGGAAAUCCCCGCGCUCAACGUGGGAACUGCCUUUGAAACGGGCAAACUUGAGUGUGUGAGAGGAUAGUGGAAUUCCAGGUGUAGGAGUGAAAUCCGUAGAUAUCUGGAGGAACAUCAGUGGCGAAGGCGACAAUCUGGCACAUAACUGACGCUGAGGAGCGAAAGCGUGGGUAGCAAACAGGAUUAGAUACCCUGGUAGUC